AACGGCCAUACCAUGCUGAAUGUAGCGGUUCUCGUUAGAUCACCGAAGGCGCGAUCAGUACUUGGGUGGGUGACCACCUGGGAACACCGCGUGCCGUU